GAUGAACGCUGGCGGCGUGCCUAAUACAUGCAAGUCGAGCGAACAGACGAGGAGCUUGCUCCUCUGACGUUAGCGGCGGACGGGUGAGUAACACGUGGAUAACCUACCUAUAAGACUGGGAUAACUUCGGGAAACCGGAGCUAAUACCGGAUAAUAUAUUGAACCGCAUGGUUCAAUAGUGAAAGACGGUGUUGCUGUCACUUAUAGAUGGAUCCGCGCCGCAUUAGCUAGUUGGUAAGGUAACGGCUUACCAAGGCAACGAUGCGUAGCCGACCUGAGAGGGUGCUCGGCCACACUGGAACUGAGACACGGUCCAGACUCCUACGGGAGGCAGCAGUAGGGAAUCUUCCGCAAUGGGCGAAAGCCUGACGGAGCAACGCCGCGUGAGUGAUGACGGUCUUCGGAUCGUAAAACUCUGUUAUUAGGGAAGAACAAAUGUGUAAGUAACUAUGCACGUCUUGACGGUACCUAAUCAGAAAGCCACGGCUAACUACGUG
rnacentral:rRNA from 1 species